GGGUGUGAGCGAGUGAGGGCGUGGGCCUGAGAGCGUCCGCGGGACUGUGCGACUGUCGCUGCCCCGCCUUCCCCGCCCCCUCUCCAUUCCCCCUUCUCUGCCCCCCUUUGCCACACUCCUUAGACAGGGACGGGCGACCUAGAACGAGGUUCCCAUACCGUCUUUUGAAAAGCAAAACUUGGUCUCUGUUUUGCCUUUUGUUUUAUUGUUUUUAGCUUUAAAGAGUAAGAGCAGCGCACCCGGCUCCCUCCUGCUAAUUAGACUUCAGAUCCCCCUCUGGCCUCAGUGCUCAUUCUGGGGAAGACACCUGCUGAGAUGUCUUUUUCCCCCUCCCUCAACCAAACCACUUAGGUCCUGCCUGCUCUUUCCCGGCUGGAUGCGAGCGUGUUUUCCUGUAUGUAUUUUUUCAUGCGGCCACAAACAGCAUCAGCUGGGGUUCCCGAAGGUCAGAAAAUGGCUAUUGAUUAAUCUAUUAGAAUAGUUGCCGAGAGAAAUAAAAACGACGUAAAAUAACAGGGACCCUAUAAAUAAAGAAGCCAUAACUGGCUACUUGGAGUUGUUAAACGACUUAGCAUAUGAAAAAAUCGGAAAUGAGGCGCUGGGGAAGGAGCCGGCAUUGGCAGCGGCCCGGGUGUAGACAAAUCCUCCAAGAUUUAACUUCCAAGGAAACCAGCGGCGGAGCGGUUGGAGGAGGCGAGGAUGUGUGGCCAGCGCACGCGGAGUGCAAGGCCGCCUAGUUGGGAGCCGCAAGAGCCUGUGCCUAGUGUGGCAGGCACACGUAACUCAAUCCCUGUCUGUACGCUGCGGCCUGGGAGGGGAGCGCCGGCCUCACCAGAGGAAGGAGCACGAGGGGAGGAGUUCCGAGAGGAAAUAAUUAGUGAAAUAUUUGCAGAAGAUGCUGGGAUGUGGAUUUAAUUCCGGAAGGACAGUGGUGCUUCCGAUUCUCUCAGUCUGUUUCCCCAUCCACGAUCUCCUCUUUCCUUGGCCUAGACACACUAAAAAUAAUUCAAUAAAAUAAAAAGUUUAAAAU